rnacentral:rRNA from 1 species
GCUCAGGACGAACGCUGGCGGCGUGCUUAACACAUGCAAGUCGAACGAUGAACCACCUUCGGUGGGGAUUAGUGGCGAACGGGUGAGUAACACGUGGGCAAUCUGCCCUUCACUCUGGGACAAGCCCUGGAAACGGGGUCUAAUACCGGAUACUGACCCUCGCAGGCAUCUGCGAGGUUCGAAAGCUCCGGCGGUGAAGGAUGAGCCCGCGGCCUAUCAGCUUGUUGGUGAGGUAAUGGCUCACCAAGGCGACGACGGGUAGCCGGCCUGAGAGGGCGACCGGCCACACUGGGACUGAGACACGGCCCAGACUCCUACGGGAGGCAGCAGUGGGGAAUAUUGCACAAUGGGCGAAAGCCUGAUGCAGCGACGCCGCGUGAGGGAUGACGGCCUUCGGGUUGUAAACCUCUUUCAGCAGGGAAGAAGCGAAAGUGACGGUACCUGCAGAAGAAGCGCCGGCUAACUACGUGCCAGCAGCCGCGGUAAUACGUAGGGCGCAAGCGUUGUCCGGAAUUAUUGGGCGUAAAGAGCUCGUAGGCGGCUUGUCACGUCGGUUGUGAAAGCCCGGGGCUUAACCCCGGGUCUGCAGUCGAUACGGGCAGGCUAGAGUUCGGUAGGGGAGAUCGGAAUUCCUGGUGUAGCGGUGAAAUGCGCAGAUAUCAGGAGGAACACCGGUGGCGAAGGCGGAUCUCUGGGCCGAUACUGACGCUGAGGAGCGAAAGCGUGGGGAGCGAACAGGAUUAGAUACCCUGGUAGUCCACGCCGUAAACGGUGGGCACUA